AUGGCAGUUGCAUUUGGGAGCAUUAAUGUGUUUGUGUCUGCUUGUGUCCCUCCGUCUCUCCCCAGGCUGCUGAUCGUCUACCCCUGGACCCAGAGGUUCUUUGAUAACUUUGGGAACCUCUCCAGCCCCACUGCCAUCAUCGGCAACCCCAAGGUCCGUGCCCAUGGCAAGAAAGUGCUCACCUCCUUCGGGG